ensembl:lncRNA
GAAAAGCUCAGUUUUGCCCGCGCUGUUCUACUACAAGUAAGACUCAAGUAAGAUCCAAUGGGCAGACGCCGGGGAAUAAACGUCACCGAAGACGAGCGAGGGCGUGGGGCGUGAACACCGAGCGUUCCAAUCAGAAGAUCAGUGUUUCUAUUGGGACAAUGGGUGGCUCCGCCCCCACUGCAGACUUAUUGUCUGGGGGAGGAGGCUCCGGUGGUUCCAGAAGAGCCGGGAGAGACAAUCCAGGAGGCGUUCUACGGUUCAGCCUGCAAAGCAGCACCGACAGUGGCCUGCAACGCCAUGGUCAGAUGGCGACGGCAUCCCUGGAUCCAGGAGGGGUUUAGGGCUAAGGCCCCGAACGCUCCAAGGGGCGCGGCUCCUGCUUGGAACCAGCGGACAACUCCGGCUUCGGCCUCUGGCCCGCCCCAAAUGGUACCUAUGACAUCACCACCAACCAAUCAAAUGGCGCAUUCUUAGGCCUCCUCAUUGACUUUUUCGCUUCCAGGAGGCGGGAUUCCUCGUUCCAGCACCUCAUGUGACUACGGAGAGCCGGUGGGUGGGCUCCAGUGGUGCCCUCUGGUGUCUCAGAAUCUGAGGACUUCCUAAGACCUGUUUUCCUGGGACCCCACCCCAAGGGGUCUUCUUUGCUGCGUUUCGCUCUGCUGGGAGAGUAACAGCUCCCUGCCGUCAGCAUCCCAUUAAGAAAGGAAAAGUCAUGGCCAGAAGUCACGGUGUCUGAUUUUCGAAGUGUGGAAUCCUAUGAGAAUCAUCUUGAGUAACAAAAUGAAAGGGACUGUUGAAAACCACUGCUGUCUGGUGUCUGCCUAUGGGUUCUGACUCUCCUCCCCAACUUACAGCGACAAGCCC